CCUACGGGCGGCUGCAGGGAAUAUUGCACAAUGGGCGCAAGCCUGAUGCAGCCAUGCCGCGUGUGUGAAGAAGGCCUUCGGGUUGUAAAGCACUUUCAGCGGGGAGGAAGGCGGUGAGGUUAAUAACCUCAUCGAUUGACGUUACCCGCAGAAGAAGCACCGGCUAACUCCGUGCCAGCAGCCGCGGUAAUACGGAGGGUGCAAGCGUUAAUCGGAAUUACUGGGCGUAAAGCGCACGCAGGCGGUCUGUCAAGUCGGAUGUGAAAUCCCCGGGCUCAACCUGGGAACUGCAUUCGAAACUGGCAGGCUAGAGUCUUGUAGAGGGGGGUAGAAUUCCAGGUGUAGCGGUGAAAUGCGUAGAGAUCUGGAGGAAUACCGGUGGCGAAGGCGGCCCCCUGGACAAAGACUGACGCUCAGGUGCGAAAGCGUGGGGAGCAAACAGGAUUAGAUACCCUAGUAGUC
rnacentral:rRNA from 1 species